UACGAAGGGGGCUAGCGUUGUUCGGAAUCACUGGGCGUAAAGCGCACGUAGGCGGAUCUUUAAGUCAGGGGGUGAAAUCCCCGAGGCUCAACCUCGGAACUGCCUUUGAUACUGGGGGAUCUCGAGUCCGGGAGAGGUGAGUGGAACUGCGAGUGUAGAGGUGAAAUUCGUAGAUAUUCGCAAGAACACCAGUGGCGAAGGCGGCUCACUGGCCCGAUACUGACGCUGAGGCACGAAAGCGUGGG
rnacentral:rRNA from 1 species